rnacentral:rRNA from 1 species
CUGGCGUCAGAACGAACGACUGGCGGCGUGCUUAACACAUGCAAGUCGAACGCGAAAGGGAACUUCGGUCCUGAGUAAAGUAGGCGCACGGGUGAGUAACGCGUAGAUAACCUGUCUUCAUGUCUGGAAUAAUACGCCGAAAGGGGUACUAAUACCGGAUAUUCUUGCUUUUCAUAAGUUAUGCAAGCAAAGGUGGCCUCUGCAUAUGCUACUGCAUGAAGAGGGGUCUGCGUACCAUUAGCUAGUAGGUGGGGUAAUGGCCUACCUAGGCGACGAUGGUUAGCGGGUCUGAGAGGAUGAUCCGCCACACUGGCACUGGAACACGGGCCAGACUCCUACGGGAGGCAGCAGUGAGGAAUAUUGCGCAAUGGGGGAAACCCUGACGCAGCGACGCCGCGUGAAGUGAGGAAGGCCUUCGGGUCGUAAAGCUCUGUCAAGAGGAAAGAAGUGUACAAUGGCUAAUACCUGUUGUAUUUGACGGUACCUCUAAAGGAAGCACCGGCUAACUCCGUGCCAGCCGCCGC